rnacentral:rRNA from 1 species
UACAGAGGGGGCAAGCGUUAUUCGGAAUUAUUGGGCGUAAAGGGCGCGUAGGCGGCUUGGCAAGUGGAUGGUGAAAUCCCUCGGCUUAACCGAGGAACUGCCAUCCAGACUGCUUUGCUUGAGGCCGGGAGAGGUGAGUGGAAUUCCCAGUGUAGCGGUGAAAUGCGUAGAUAUUGGGAGGAACACCGGUGGCGAAGGCGGAUCUCUGGGCCUUACCUGACGCUGAGGCGCGAAAGCUAGGGGAGCAAACAGG